rnacentral:tRNA from 1 species
UGGCCGCUGGCGCAAUUGGAAGCGCGUCUGACUCUGACUCAGAAGGUUCCAGGUUCGAAGCCUGGGCGGCCAGCCA